rnacentral:rRNA from 1 species
UACGUAGGGGGCGAGCGUUGUCCGAAGUUACUGGGCGUAAAGCGCGCGUAGGCGGCCACUUAAGUCUGGGGUGAAAGGUUCAGCGCUCAACGCGAACAGUGCCUUGGAUACUGGGUGGCUUGAGUCUGGGAGAGGGUAGUGGAAUUCCUGGUGUAGCGGUGAAAUGCGUAGAUAUCAGGAGGAACACCGGUGGCGAAGGCGGUUCUCUGGGACGGUACUGACGCUGAGACGCGAAAGCGUGGGGAGCGAACAGG